rnacentral:lncRNA from 1 species
GCGAGGGCGCGGUAAAUGGCGCUCUGAGUACUUUCUGUCUCAGUCCGGCUGGCCGCUCACGCGUCGGGCCCCCAUUUACUCUCGUUACUGAGGAGACACGGCUCCAGUUUUGACCCGACUACGGUUGUUUUCUUCGUGUGUACCGCGAAAUGCUGAUGACGUCCGGUUCCGCGCAGUUUUUUUCCUAUUUCGUUUCCAACCACAGUUGUGCGGUUCACAGAUUUUUCCCUUGGGAUGUGUUUUCCAUACCUCCAAGCCCACUCUCAGAGCCUUGGGGCCCCAUAAAACUUCAUGCGCAGCUGCUUUCUGGUAUUUGCAGACCUGGAAGGCUUCUCGUAUUCUUAAUUUGGGGAAGAGAGACAUAGGUUUCCUUGUACAACGGGAUGAGGAUUUAAGAGCAGAACGACACUGAUAUUUUAAAGGCGAGGGUAUUUAGAUUUGUGGAGCUGAAACUUGCCUGAAAAGGGAGACAAAAUUUGGAAGUUUGUUGUGUGCAGUUUCUGCCCCUUACCCCCGCCCUUCACUUUUAAACUGCGCAUAUAUCAACAAUAGUUACGGUUGUUGCAGCAGUCUAAAUUUGAUUAUCAGAAUUGACCCUAGGCAUGAAUUUUUUUUUAAAUAUACCAAUGUCGUGUUAUAUACACUUAUACCAUUAUGUCCAGACUUCUCUUAAGCAUAGUUCGUGGUGGGCAGUUUUGUGGUCAUUUAGGGAUGAACUUGGGUAGGGAAAGCUGAGCAUACAUAAUUUAUUUUAGGAAUGCACCAGUUCUGCCAACAUUUAUCAGAAGUCACGUUUUUAAAAAGCUAUUCUGGAACUGAAGAUGUCAUUGGUUUAUAAGAGGAAAAUGGAAGCCAAAAGCUUACACCUCAUGCUCUAUCUUUAAAAAUUAAGGUGGCAGACACAAUGAGUAGAAGGCUUUUAUGUUACCAGAAUGAAGGCUUAAAAUCUGUCAUUUUAUUGACUCGGCUUUCUUUUUAGAAAUUUCUUUAAGAUAUAAAAGCAAUGUGGAAUAUCACUCUUUCACACUCUUAAAAUAGAUUACGUUCUCUGGAACUUCUCUAAUCUGAAAUGUGUUCAAAAAGGAAAAAGAUCUUUAAAAUACGCCAGUUAGUCUAUGGUAUAAUAUUAAACACUAUUCAUCACUAGAGAAGUUAUGGUGGUAUACCCUCCCCUUUCUCAGAUGUCCACCUUAAUGCCAGAAAUGAGCGGAGUUUCCCUUUGUUGUGCAAAAUGACUGUGUCCUUGAGGGAUGUUUGGAUGCUCUUGGUAAACCGGAAUCAGCCAGAAGCAUAUCCGGUGUUAGCCUUGUUGUGUCAUCAACAUUACAACAGUGAGGAAACCCACAUAUUCCAAUGAAAGAGGAAAACUUAAAGAAGAAGUUUCCAGUGUAUUUUCUUUGAGAUAUAUUUAUUCCUAUGACCUCAGAAGAUCAGCUUUUACCGUCCAAGGUUCACUUUGCCUAAAAGCUGAUUGUUCCUGUGGAAACAGUAGCAUCGGAUGACCCUACAAACAAAGCAUUAUGACAUCAUCAGAGCCAACAACCUGGCAUGACAGAUACUAAUAAGGAAAAAAGAGGUUACAAGAAUUCUGACACUCAUCACAGUGGAUCCAAUAUCUGGUCCCUUGGGUUUCAUAUAUGUUAGAAGUAUCUUCUCAGGAGGGAAAAGUCAAUGCCAGUCAUAUCCUUUCUAGCUAUUAGAAAUGUCCAUCAGCUUACGAGGAGAUUCUCCCUCAUCUCACAAACUACCUGCAUCUCCACUUCCCUGGAAGAAAAAAAAAAUCUGGACAUACCCAAGCUGUGUAUGUGCCUGAGAUCUUCCCUUCCAAGGUAAAGAGAGAGCCUGAGACAGGUCUAAAUUAGCAUCUGGACUUUCUGCUAGUAAAGAAAAGGAAAUAUGGGAAACUAAAUAGUAACAUUAAAGGACCCACAAAGGGACUACUGGGGUGCCACCACAGGUAACCAUCAGAGAACACACUGCUAUUUUCAAAUAAACAGAACUGAACAAAA